GCCAGGGAACUACGAGCAAAGCUUAAAACCCAAAGGACUUGACGGUGCCCCAUAUCCCCCUAGAGGAGCCUGUCCUAUAACCGAUGAUCCCCGUUUAACCUCACCACUUCUAGCUAAUCAGCUUGUAUACUUCCGUCCCCAGCUUACCACGUGAGCGAAAUUCAGUUAGCUCAACUGGCCUAACACUUAUCAACCCCCCGCCAAUACGUCAGGUCGAAGUGCAGCAAAUGAAGUGGAAUGAGAUUGGCUACACUUUUUAAUUUAAAAGAUACGAAAGACAAAUAAUGAAACUUUGUCAGAAGGUGGAUUUAGCAGUAAAAAGAAUUCAUUACAUCCAUUUUAAGUAGGCACUGGAGCGUGU
rnacentral:rRNA from 1 species